rnacentral:rRNA from 1 species
UUUAUGGAGAGUUUGAUCCUGGCUCAGGAUGAACGCUGGCGGCGUGCCUAAUACAUGCAAGUCGAGCGAACAGACAAGGAGCUUGCUCCUUUGACGUUAGCGGCGGACGGGUGAGUAACACGUGGGUAACCUACCUAUAAGACUGGGAUAACUUCGGGAAACCGGAGCUAAUACCGGAUAAUAUUUCAAACCGCAUGGUUCGAUAGUGAAAGAUGGUUUUGCUAUCACUUAUAGAUGGACCCGCGCCGUAUUAGCUAGUUGGUAAGGUAACGGCUUACCAAGGCGACGAUACGUAGCCGACCUGAGAGGGUGAUCGGCCACACUGGAACUGAGACACGGUCCAGACUCCUACGGGAGGCAGCAGUAGGGAAUCUUCCGCAAUGGGCGAAAGCCUGACGGAGCAACGCCGCGUGAGUGAUGAAGGUCUUCGGAUCGUAAAACUCUGUUAUUAGGGAAGAACAUACGUGUAAGUAACUAUGCACGUCUUGACGGUACCUAAUCAGAAAGCCACGGCUAACUACGUGCCAGCAGCCGCGGUAAUACGUAGGUGGCAAGCGUUAUCCGGAAUUAUUGGGCGUAAAGCGCGCGUAGGCGGUUUUUUAAGUCUGAUGUGAAAGCCCACGGCUCAACCGUGGAGGGUCAUUGGAAACUGGAAAACUUGAGUGCAGAAGAGGAAAGUGGAAUUCCAUGUGUAGCGGUGAAAUGCGCAGAGAUAUGGAGGAACACCAGUGGCGAAGGCGACUUUCUGGUCUGUAACUGACGCUGAUGUGCGAAAGCGUGGGGAUCAAACAGGAUUAGAUACCCUGGUAGUCCACGCCGUAAACGAUGAGUGCUAAGUGUUAGGGGGUUUCCGCCCCUUAGUGCUGCAGCUAACGCAUUAAGCACUCCGCCUGGGGAGUACGACCGCAAGGUUGAAACUCAAAGGAAUUGACGGGGACCCGCACAAGCGGUGGAGCAUGUGGUUUAAUUCGAAGCAACGCGAAGAACCUUACCAAAUCUUGACAUCCUUUGACAACUCUAGAGAUAGAGCUUUCCCCUUCGGGGGACAAAGUGACAGGUGGUGCAUGGUUGUCGUCAGCUCGUGUCGUGAGAUGUUGGGUUAAGUCCCGCAACGAGCGCAACCCUUAAGCUUAGUUGCCAUCAUUAAGUUGGGCACUCUAAGUUGACUGCCGGUGACAAACCGGAGGAAGGUGGGGAUGACGUCAAAUCAUCAUGCCCCUUAUGAUUUGGGCUACACACGUGCUACAAUGGACAAUACAAAGGGCAGCGAAACCGCGAGGUCAAGCAAAUCCCAUAAAGUUGUUCUCAGUUCGGAUUGUAGUCUGCAACUCGACUACAUGAAGCUGGAAUCGCUAGUAAUCGUAGAUCAGCAUGCUACGGUGAAUACGUUCCCGGGUCUUGUACACACCGCCCGUCACACCACGAGAGUUUGUAACACCCGAAGCCGGUGGAGUAACCAUUUGGAGCUAGCCGUCGAAGGUGGGACAAAUGAUUGGGGUGAAGUCGUAACAAGGUAGCCGUAUCGGAAGGUGCGGCUGGAUCACCUCCUUU